GUAGGUGGCAAGCGUUGUCCGGAAUUAUUGGGCGUAAAGCGCGCGCAGGCGGUCCUUUAAGUCUGAUGUGAAAGCCCACGGGCUCAACCGUGGAGGGUCAUUGGAAACUGGGGGACUUGAGUACAGAAGAGGAAAGCGGAAUUCCAAGUGUAGCGGUGAAAUGCGUAGAGAUUUGGAGGAACACCAGUGGCGAAGGCGGCUUUCUGGUCUGUAACUGACGCUGAGGCGCGAAAGCGUGGGGAGCAAACAGGAUUAGAUACCCUGGUAGUCCACGCCGUAAACGAUGAGUGCUAAGUGUUAGGGAGUUUCCGCCCCUUAAUGCUGCAGCUAACGCAUUAAGCACUCCGCCUGGGGAGUACGGCCGCAAAGGCUG
rnacentral:rRNA from 1 species